rnacentral:rRNA from 1 species
UACAGAGGUCUCAAGCGUUGUUCGGAUUCAUUGGGCGUAAAGGGUGCGUAGGUGGCGGGGUAAGUCAGGUGUGAAAUCUCGGAGCUCAACUCCGAAACUGCACUUGAUACUGCCUUGCUCGAGUACUGGAGAGGAGAUUGGAAUUUACGGUGUAGCAGUGAAAUGCGUAGAUAUCGUAAGGAAGACCAGUGGCGAAGGCGAAUCUCUGGACAGUUACUGACACUGAGGAGCGAAAGCGUGGGGAGCGAACAGG